rnacentral:rRNA from 1 species
UACGUAGGGCGCAAGCGUUGUCCGGAAUUAUUGGGCGUAAAGAGCUCGUAGGCGGUUUGUCGCGUCUGCUGUGAAAACCUAAGGCUCAACCUUGGGCUUGCAGUGGGUACGGGCAGACUAGAGUGCGGUAGGGGUGACUGGAAUUCCUGGUGUAGCGGUGGAAUGCGCAGAUAUCAGGAGGAACACCGGUGGGCGAAGGCGGGGUCUCGUGGGCCGAUAACU